rnacentral:misc_RNA from 1 species
AGUGCGAAUCAAAGAGCUAGAAGAGGUGAUCGCUGGUGGUCGGUUGUGAGCGGGAGAGCGCUGGAGCUGGGUCACUGCCGCAGUUGUCAACAUUCUCACGUCAAAUCCGAAGCCUGUGGCCAGGUCCCAGCCAUAGUGAUCUAUGGUCACACCACACAAACUAGUACAGUACAGUAUUAGAAAAUGAGCCGUGCAGAAAAUGAAGCAUAUUGGGGGUCAACAGAUACUGCACCCUCGGCCCUUGACAACUUUUUUGAUGAAGACAGUGAUGUUAAUUGGACUGGUUAUACAGAACACGACAACCACUCCUCUGCAGCGACUUCUCCCUGCGAGUCUGUUGAUGCGGUCGUCCCCGGAGGGCAGCAGGCACCCACCAACUCCAGUAUUACUGACAACAUCACUCUACAUACAUCCACAGAUUGGAUUGUUGUAGAUACGGGAAGUACAAUAAAUAGCAGCGAGAGGCUGGCCAAAGGUGUAGGGAAAGCGAUUGGUGAAAAAUUAGAUUCUUGGAAGCCCCCUUCGGUAUCCAUCAAGUGGAACACGUCACAAGGACAAGGCAGUGGUUCUUGUGUUCAGUGUGCUGCUAAAGAUAACGAAAUCUCUCAGUUAAAAAAACGACUAGAAAAUUCUUAUUCUCGAUACAACCUUACAUUACCACCAGAUGAUACAGUCAACCGAAUUCUCCUAGGUCAGCCAUACUCUCUAGAAUGUUAUCGUAGCCAUGAAGAUAAACUUGCUUUGUUAGAUGCUGCCCUAAAUAUUAUGGAUGGAAGUGCAAUAUUAGCAACAUUGCUUCAUAUGAAGAUCACUGUUAAAAAAAGUCUGUUCAUUAAGGAAAUGCAAGUAAGGCCAUCUGCAUCUCAGCUGUAUGUCAAUUACCUAAAGAAGCGUCGCAACUACGCAGAAGCCAUAGAUUUUCUAGGAUUGCUUGGCAAAUCUGAGGAUGCAGCAAUUCUAUCUUAUGAAUUGGCUCUCUCAAGCAAAUCACCAGAAGUCAAGAUGAAAAAUAUGAAAAAGGCUCUUGACAACAGCUUCACAGAUCCUAGUCUCUCAUAUGAGGCAAAAAUUGUGAUGGAUAACAUAAAACUACUAGAAAGACAGAUGGCCAUAGAUCAAGCAGAUUGUAAUGAUCAGACAAAUCCCAUGCUUGUCAAAUAUCCACGUGCUGCCAACAUCGUUGACAAGUCUCUUCUAACAACUCUCUUUUACUGCUGCAUGUAUCAUUGGGAUGUUUCCGAGUCACAUGCUGGAAGUCCGAUGGCCUUGAGAAAAGCUCACAGCUUCACGGAUGGUCAAGUCUUGUGGACAGUCUUACGAGGGCGAGCACGGGUUAACCACUGGCCUUUGCCUAAUGAAUUGGAUUCUUGGCUAGGGAGUAAGGGCUUACUAGGAGCACUUGGGUCCUUAACUUCUGCAUUCAGUGGUGCCGGCAAAGUGAUCAGUUCUGGCAUCAAGGCAGCUCUACCAAUGGAGCAGGUGGUGCACACACUGUCAGCAAGUGGAGCUCCAGCAAAUGUAAUUCUUUUCUGUAUAACAUCCCUAUUUUUCUGGUACUAGCAGUCUACAUAUCUUUGAUAGACUCCAUGGACACUCGCAUUAAGUUGGCUGUGAACUACAAAUGUCACCAAGCAGUUAUUGAUGUUCACAUUGCUCAAAAGGACAGGGAUGCCCUCGAAAAAUAUAUGAAGGAAAUACCGGC